rnacentral:lncRNA from 1 species
UGGAUGCAUAAUCCCCUCCAGUUCUGCUCCGCUUCUGGACCCCUGCCCCUUGGGGGAGAAAUGCUUUCUGAGAGCACGUGUGGAAUAACUCAAGAUCACCAAUGGCAGGAGAUUAUGGAAUAAUCCCAGACAUAUUACCUGCUUUAGUCCUCAAAACUGCCUAAAAAGGAAUGAAUGCAGACUAUACAGAUGAGGAAGCUGAGGCUUAAAGGAAGAAAGUGGUAUACCUAAAGUCCUCUGUGAAGGAAGUGGCAGACCUGAGAUUCAAACUCAAGUCUAGUUACUCAAAGCCUGAGCUCUCUCCAUAAGGUUGUAGUGAAGACCACGUAAGUAGCAUGUGCCAAGCUCCUUGGAACCACAGUAAAGACAGUAAUUAAUCUGAUGGGGAAAAAAUCAGGGAAGACUGCCCAGCAGAAAUAUUUGAGUUGAUUCUUGAAGGGUGAAUAAAAUGUUAACUGAUAGAGAAAGAGGAUAUUGGGG